rnacentral:rRNA from 1 species
ACUUGACCUCAAAUCAGGUGGGACUACCCGCUGAACUUAAGCAUAUCAA